rnacentral:rRNA from 1 species
GACGAAGGGGGCUAGCGUUGUUCGGAAUUACUGGGCGUAAAGGGCGCGUAGGCGGCUCUUUAAGUCAGGCGUGAAAGCCCUGGGCUCAACCUGGGAGUGGCGCUUGAUACUGGAGGGCUAGAGAGUGGGAGAGGUUGGUGGAAUUCCCAGUGUAGAGGUGAAAUUCGUAGAUAUUGGGAAGAACACCGGUGGCGAAGGCGGCCAACUGGACCAUUUCUGACGCUGAGGCGCGAAAGCGUGGGGAGCAAACAGG